AAAAGUGGGUAAAAAUGCGUUUGAAAAAGUGAUAAUUGACAUUGAGCUUCUGAGCUGGGCUCCCUAUUUUAUACUAGCGCACGAAUUCCCCAGGUUGGUUAAGUUUCAAACAGUAUUCUAUAUUAAUUAAUUUAAAUCUAAAUUGUUUUUGGAUUAAAAAUACUGAGCAGCUGAUAUGUGUACCUAGUUAAUGAUGACUGAGUUGUUGUCACGCUCACGCUCACCGUCAGUCAUCAUUUUUCUUUAACUAAUUUUUUGCAUGUUUGACCAAGCCAAAAAGGUUAAAAAUAAGUCACUUAUCUUUGAUUAUGUGAAAAUAACUUUUUUUCCCCUUAAAUUUAAGUAAAAAGUUAUUUUUGAAUCGUAACUCUUGUGAAGCCUUUUAGCAAUAAAUAUAUUAUUUACUAUAAAACGGGUAAUUUCUUUCAUGAGUUUCAAACCUUUUUUAAGUGAUGUUAGAUUGUUUAUAACAUUCAUAUCCCAAUCUUUAUCGAUUAUUUUCACCUAACGGAAAAUAUUUAUUUAGACAUUAAAUAGCUGUCAUCGAACAUGUAAUAACUAAAAGUAAAAUAUCUAAAAAUAAAAAAUUCCUACAAUUUACAUACUAGCUGAUAGUAAAAACAAACAGUUUGACAACAAUAGAAGGAAUCAAAUUAUCACGGUUGUAUUCAAAUUAAAGUAAGUAAUUUGUACAAUUAUACGUUUUUAGCUGAUGUUACGUGCAUGUCGCGAGAUCAUUUAACAUCUAAAUGUUUUCCAUCAGGUCAAGUUAGAUCUCAAUACUGCAUUCACAAUGUUAAAUGGAUUGAGACCAAUUAUCACGAUUGUAUUCAAAUUAAAGUAAGUAAUUUGUACAAUUAUACGUUUUUAGCUGAUGUUACGUGCAUGUUGCGAGAUCAUUUAACAUCUAAAUCUUUUCCAUCUGGUCAAGUUAGAUCUCAAUAUUGCAUUCACAAUGUUAAAUGGAUUGAGACACAAGUGUUACUAAAGAAAGGUUGGGAACAUAUUUGUUGCACUUACGAAAAGUUGAAACUUCCAAAUGAAUUUACCCUUAUAAAGAUUUAUAUUUACCUAAGAGUAAUUUUACUUAAUAAUAACCUUGUUAAUCUUAACCAAAUGUGCUUAAACUUAUAAGUAAAUUUUUUUUUUUUUUUUUUUUAUAAUAUCAAUGUCAACCUUCUUAGCUAUUUAUGGUACUUAAAAUUAGACCAUCCGAACCACGACUAGAUUACAACUUUUGUUCCUUAUAAGACUAAAAACGAGAUUACUCAAACCACAAGAAAACUACAACUUUUAUCCCACAUUUGAAUUGAUCUAUUAUUUCUUUGUUUUCGUCAUGUUCGACUUAGAGCAUUUCUCUCAAUGCUAUAAAUAUUUGCAUUCCACAUUGAAUAUUAGUGACUUUAUUAGGAGUUAUAAUGAUGAUCUAUCACUAUUGCUCUGAAUUAAUUCCUUCUGAUUUCAGUUUACACUAGCAUUUUUUAGGGAUCUAAUCUGAACAAAAUUACUAGGUUAGAAAUUAUAUUGUCUAUUAUCUCUUAAAAUUCAAGACUGUAAUCAUGUAAUGCUUUGCCUCAAAUUUUGGCAUUCAAAAAAGGCCCCACCAAGAAAAUGAUCACAAUUUGGCUUUCGUUUCAAGAAUCCAACUCCAACCCAUCAUUUCGGACCCGUUUGGCAAAAUUUUCGCUUUUACUUUUGUUUCUUAUAGAAAAACUUUCUGUGGAAGCUAUCUUAACUAGAGUCUUCUAAAAGCUCAUCUAACUAAAAAAUUAUUAAAAUAGGUCCAAUAACAAAUAUUUUCAACGAUAUUGGUAAGUAAAUGUAGCAUGUUAUAGACAAUAGAGUAGUCAAUUGAAGUUUCAUGUUUCUACCAAGUUAUAAUCUCGUUUCAUCGAGCUUUUUGAGGGUCCCAUGAAAUGCGUGGUUACAAAUGAAUAAAAGUUGUGGAUCUAAUAAAAUAUGUGAUUAAAAGUAAACUUUGAACAACUUAAAAUCUAAAAAAAUAAAAUAAAUAAAUAAUAAUAAAUAAAAAAGCUUUACCAAGCAAUAGCUAAAUUCCUGCAUCGUAUAUUUAGGCCUCAUUUAACAAAAUUAAAAAAAAAAAGUCAAAAGCCUUUCAAAGACUAAGAAGUUGCUUUUAAAUCUAUUUGAAUAAUUUAUUGAAAGUCCGUCAUUUGGUUAAAGAAAACUGAGGUAAGAGAGUUUCCUCAAAAAGUUCUUUCUACAAGUAGAAGGAAGAGCAAAAACUCUACCAAACGAACCCUUAAUCUAUAUCUAAAAGUGAAUCCAAGGUUUGCUAAGAAAAUUCUAAGUUAAUUAGAACUUUUAUAAAGCAAAAAUAAGGAUUAAAAAUUGUUCUUAAAACUAUGAAAUAUGUUCCUACCAUGUAAGCAUUGACGUCAGCUAAGCAAAAUUGAGGUAAUCAACCCACUGAUGAUAAAAUUAUGAUUCAAUGCACAUUAUAUUGUGCCUAUUUAGCCACUCAAAUGACAGUCAAUCAGAAACUAAUAUAUAAGAGUAGGGCUGUUUGGACAGCAGCCCCCUCCAAUAGAGGGGCGUCACUUGGCCCCCCGAACUUGAGCAUGGAUUUGGCCCUGACCAUUUAGUUUUAUUGAAUAUAUAAUAGGGUUUCAGUUAACAAAUAGCAAAAUCUUUAUAAUAAAGCUGAAUUGCAGGCAAAGUAUUUGACGUUUUAUUCGAUCAUAAUUUGAUCCAUCGACUUUUUUUCCUUGACAUUUAGCUCUUUAACCUCUCAUUCAUAGCAAUUUUGUCCUUUUAGACGAAAACUCUUCAAAAAGAUUUCAACUUCUAUUAGGCUUAGAUGUUUUCUAGGCUAGACAUCCUUUAAACAAGUUUGUUUCAAAUCGAUUGGGGUCGUUAAGGUCGGUGUUUUGUGGGCUGUGGGUGUGAAGAAGAUGGAUUUGUUUUUUUCUUUUUCUUUUUUUUUUUUUUUAAAAUCUUUUUCAUUUUUAGUUUUCUUCAAAAUUGUCUUUUGACAAAUUUGAUGCCAAAUUUGGAUGGAGAUCAUGAAUGAGGACGAAAAUGAAAAUGCAGAUUGAAAAGUUAAAUGGCCGGAAAAAAAAAAACUUGAGGACCAAAGUAAAACCAACGGUAAAUGUUGAGGACUGCAUAAGCAAUUCAUCCAUUAUGUUUCAGCAACCAGGCUAAAAUAUGUAUCCCAAAUAUCAUAAACAUUAUUCAAUAUGGCACCAGAACGUAAUAAGUGCAAAGAGAAAACAGCCAAUCAUAAAAAUAAACUGAGUCCUUUGAAGCAGAUAUUUAUUAUUAUUAUUAUUAUUUUUUCCGGGAAAAUCGAUUUUUUGAUGCAAGUUUGUGUGCCCGUAAAGAAUGAUUUAAAGUUGACUCUAGAGAAAUAAUGGGAUUUUUGACUUUUUAGCAUCCAUCCCAUCGGUAAUUUUCAUCUCAAUGACGAAAUUAUUCCUAAAAUAUCAAUGUUUACUUCUAAAAUGGUCAUUCACUCUUUCAAGUCAAUGGCAGAAAUUGAAAUAGCAAAAUGUGUUUAUAAAAUGUUUAAAUUAUAAAUAAAGUCGAUACUUGAUAGUACUUGUGGGUAGGAUGGACCCAUACUUUUAGAGCUGUGGGGUCAAAAAUUAUACACACACAUACAUAUAUAUGUGUGUGUGUGUGUAUAUACAUAUAUAUACACACAUUUUAAAAAUGUCAUAUAAUUAUAUUAUUAUCAAUAUUAUUAAAUAAAUUUUGCUAUUUGCAUAGUUUUGUUUAUCAAUUUGUUGACAAAUGUUGAGCCAAUAGUGAGUAAAUCUAAUUGAAUGUGAAAUGUAAAUAAAUUGAAAUAAAAUCCAAGUUUAAUCCAAGAAAUAAAUGAAAUUCAAAUUUAAAGCAAAUGAAAUUCGAAAGUAAUUCAAAUUACAUUUAAUCCUUAACGAUCCUAAAAUUUUUGACAUCAUAUUCCAUAUAAAAUUUUCUAAUAAAAUGAUAUAAAUGAUAUUGAAAAAUUUAUCGUGCAAAAAUAAUAAAUGUUAAUUAAAUAAUUGAAUUUUUUUAAAAGAAAAGACGAGUUAGACAUCUUUUUUUAAGACGUACAUUUGACGCAUAUAUUAACUAUUUUCGAUGUCCGUUUGGAUUAUUUAAUGUGACGGCGACAUAGUUUUCAAAACGAGAUUCUACAUGAUAUAGAAGAUUUGUGGAUUCGGAUAGCAUAAAAUCGUCGCUGAAUUUUAAAAGUUAAUAUAUUAUCAAAAUAUUAAUUUCAAACGGCCUACUUUGACGUGUUGUAACUUUUGCUAUGAUUGACCAUUUUGAACGCCUUUAGUGAUCGAAAAACUAGAUAAUAAACACUUCGAAAUGGAAUCAAGAAUACAAUAUUUCGACUUCAUUUGACAUAAAAAAAAAAAAAAGCAAAAAAAUUGUGGGGUCAUUUGACCCCACAUGACCCAUGUGGGACCGCCACGCUUGUGGGUAACUCGAAAUGUGUGGAUAAAAACUAGUUUGAAUGUUUAUAGAUAGGGUAAUUAGUACAAAACAUCCUUACCUUUCAAUAUUAUUGUGCAAAACGUCAAUUCCUUUUAUUUUUGGACACUUUUACCAUUAUAUUCACCUUUUAUGGCAAAAAUCAUCAUUUUUAUCAAAAUUUUCAUGUAAAAUGACAAAUAUACCCCAUAUUUAAAUAAAACAAUAAAAAAGAAAAGAAAAGUUAAAGAAUAAUUUGCAAUCGUACUCCCAAACUUUUUAAAAAAGAGCAAAUGAGUUCAAAUAAAUUAUUAAAAAUGUAAUUAGCACAAAACGACCCUACCUUUUAUUAUUGUUGUGCAAAAUAUCAUUGCAUUUCAUUUUUUGAUAUUUUCACCAUCAUUUCAUAUUUCAUUGUAAAAAUCGCUAUUUUCAUCCAUUUUUUCAAUUCAAAGCUGUAAAAUGACAAAUAUACGCUCAUCUUUAAAAAAAAUAAAAAAAAUAAAGAACAAAUUGCAACUAUAUUUUCAAAAUUUUCAAAAAAUAGUACAAAUAAAUUUCAAAUAAAUAAUUAAAAAAGAAAGUGAUUUGUAAUUUUUUUGAAAUAUUUUAAAGUAUAGUUGUAAUUUGUUCUUUAUUUUUGUUUAUUUUAAUAGGAGGAUAUAUUUCUCAUUUUACAGCUUUUAAUUGAAAAAAUGAAAGAAAAUCAUGAUUUUUGCAAUGAAAUAUAAAAAUUAGGGUAAAAAUGUCAAAAAAUGAAAAAUAUGGAUGUUUUGCAUAAUAAUAAUGAAAUGUAGGGACGUUUUGUGCUAAUUACCCUUUCAAUAAUUUAUUUGGAUUCAUAUGUAUUUUUUUUUUUAAAGUUUAAGAGUACAAUUUCAAUUUAUUCUUUAACUUUUCUUUUCUUUUUUUAUUGUUCUAUUUAAAUUGUGGGUAUAUUUGUCAUUUUACAUAAAAAUUUGAUAAAAAUAAUGAUUUUCGCAAUAAAAAGUGAAUGUAAGAGAAAAAAGUCCCAAAAAAUGAAAGAUAUGAAUGUUUCACACAAUAACAUUGAAAAAGGUAAUGAUGUUUUAUGCUAAUUACUUUUAUAGAUAAUUUACGAACAUUAAACAUGACUAAAUUAUAUUGUUGAUUUCAUUGAAUACCGCGCCUUUUUCGACCGCAAUUUGCAACGAUAUUCCUUGACGAAAAUUGUUACAGUUAACAAUCAAAAAUAAGUAUGGGAAAAAUGGAAAGUUCCAGCUCCGAAGUAAAUAAGAAGGAAACAUGUUGAGGAACAUUUUCCUGUUUUAAAUUGAAGCUUAUUUUUGAAAUCUCAACCCCGUUCAAUCCCCAGCUCUCCUCUGUAAUACGCCGGAGCAUAAUUUGGUCACAUCCAAUAAAGACGAAAACGUUGACUAUCCAAUAAAGACGAAAACGUAGACCAAUUUAUAAAGAUAUGAGUUACUCAUCUUAUUAAGGUUACCUUUUAAGAUGGAAUCUCAAAUCUUAAUAUGGUGUUAGAGUCUAUCAAGCUUCAAUGAAUAAUUCGAUCUGAUUAAGACUUAAGAAAAUGAGCAUAUAAUUUUCAAAAUUGAUUUGUUCAAAGAGUGACCAUCUGACAAGAGCGUGUUAAAAGGAUAAACAAUAUCCCAUAUCAAAUAAAUAUGAAAACAAAGACUGACUCAUAAAGAUUUUGACCACUCCUGAUAAGGUUGUUAUUUUAAUAUGGAACUUAAAGUCUACAUUAAGAAUAAAAUUAGUUUUUAUAGAUUACAUUAUGAGUAAGCUUAGCUAAUUUUGAAAUGGAAAAACUCCGUAACUUUCACAAAAUAACAAAUUCCAAUGUGAUAUACAAAAUGAGAUGAGUUUCAAUCCCCCAAACCCACCUAAUUAUUCAUUCUGCAGACAGUUAAAAUUAUGUUUCCUCAAGUAAAUCAACCAGAUCGACUUCUAGUACAAAGCUUAAAAGCAUUUCGAGAAUGUCACCAAGUCAUAUUUAGCACUGAACAUAUCAAGAUUCAUAUCCUUCUAUGUUUUAUCUAUAUGCCGAAGUAUCCAACUUAUAAAGUCAGUUGGACUAUAAGAAACUGUAUAUUCCAAGUAAAUAUUUCCAUUUUGAGAAAUCUCGAAUCCAAUUAACUGAUGAUAAAAUUUGCUAAGACACCGAAAUGAUUAAAACACAAGGAUUUAGUACUCAUAUAUGUUUCAUAAGAGACAAGAACCACAAAUAGGAUAACAAUGACUUACAGUUGAUCCAGAUAUUCGUGUUACAUAUACUGAAAUCUGAAGGAAUGACAAACCUUUAACAUUGACAGUAGCAUAGCAAGAAUGACAGAUGCAAUCAGAGAAAAUAAUACGUAAUUUUUUUAUGGAUAAAGAAACUAUAGUGAGAAAAGCAAACAAUAUAUUUGAAACAGGAAGAGAUUAGGCAGCUCCCUUCAGUUUCUUGGUGAUUGUUGCAAUGUGUUUCCCCUGAUGGAAAGCUUGCUGUAAUUCAAGCUCAGAUGGCUGUCUUGAACCAUCACCAGCGUAGGUUCCAGCACCAUAAGGACUUCCACCUUUUAGUUUCUCCAUGUCAAACAUGCCGGCUCCAAACGUAUAUCCAAUGGGCACAAAGAGCAUUCCAUGGUGAACAAGCUGAGUGAUAGCAGUUAACCUGCAAAAAAUCCAAGAUUAAUAAAAAAAAAAUAAUAUAUUUAUUUCGGUUUUUGAUUUCAAAAUUCCAAGAUGACUUCAAGUAGUGUAAAAUGAUCAUCAAGCAGGGAUUUACGCUGUAGUUUCUUGCCCGCCACCUUGAGAUGCAGUGCUGUAGAAGAUGCCAGCAGGUUUUCCAGCAAGCUGCUGUGUUCUCCAUAGGCCCCCAGUAGCAUCGAAGAAUGCUUUGAAUUGGGCAGCCAUCAUGCCAAACCUUGUGGGGAAUCCAAAUAUAAAGCCAUCAGCCUCGGCAAGUUCGUUGGGUGUGAUAAUAGGCACAUCACUCUUUGAAGGUGCACUCAUCUUUGUGAGCACUUCCUCUGGUAGUGUCUCAGGGACCUAUGCCACAGAGAAGAUGUCAUCAACAGAAAAGUAAGAUUUCCUUCGACAGAUUUCACCAGGAAUCAACGUUGAUCAAGAAAAUAUAGAAUAGAAGGGAUCUGAUGAGUCAAAGACGGAGAAGUGUUAUUUCUGAAGCUAAGAAAAAGCAACUAGAUUUUUGAUGCAAUGCUAUCAAUAUUUGUUUCCUUUUUCUUUUCCCAAAAAGGGCUCAAGAUAUUACUCUUUCUUUUUCUUAUUAACAAUCCUAUCUCGUUUGCUCCCAACUUGGAUAAGCUAAAAACAUCCCGCAGACUCAAACUGAUGUGUAACAACAUUCAUUGCCUAUUACAUCAGCACAGUUGCUGAGAUUUGAAUAAAAUAUGACUAAUAAUUGGAGUAAAACGGUUAUCCUUCAAUGCAAUAACUGAAAAACAUAAACAAUCAUUUUUUGAAAAGAGAUAUUAAAUAUAACGUGUCAUCGAGUAACUGGUUGAGGUUUUCUGCCAAAUGACAAUGUCAACACUGAUAGAAUUAGAUGACCAGACCAAAAAACUCUAGAGAUUCUAUUGCAAUGACUCAAACUGAACAGCUGAAAAAUCAUGAAAGGUUUAUUAUCUAAUUAAACCUACAGAGGAAUAAAGUUUUCACUGUAGCUUCUAAUCAGAGUCUUAAACACGAUUUUUUCCAGCCAACCUUUCUCGGUUCUCCGCAUAGAAAUUAGUAUCUUCAUUUUGAGACAUUUCUGCUAGCUCGUAAUUAGAAUCAACCCUUUAACCUGACUAAUUUAUGAUGCUGGUAAAAGUUAUGCAACUAAUCUAAAUAAUUGGUUUUUUUUGGCACUUGGCACCUAUAUUUAUGACAUUGACUCCAUCUAUCUUUUAUUUUAUCAGCUCAUAUAUCUUAUUGUGCUCUUCAGACUAGUAUGGUUGUCAAAUUUUUCUUCUAUUUUUAUUGUAUCCUCCCCCAUAUUUUAUUUAUUUAGUUUCUCUUUGCUGGUCUUUAUUCUGUUACUUUUCCACCUUCCUUUUGGGUUGGGCAUUUAUAUAAACUGGAUAACAUCGUAUCAUAGUAAAAAAAAACUAGGCUCCAGUCAACACCGGCCAUUUCAGAAAAAAUUAUCUCUUGCCAGACCUUUAUAAUAAUCACAUGAUUGGGUCUGCUGAAAACAACAUUUAAUUAAGUAAUGCACUUCUUUUCUAACCACUUAAACUAUUAGAUGAGAUGGUUAACAUUUUUCUUCUUAAUUUUUUAAUUAUUCCAUGAGAUAUGGCGAGGAUAGGACAGUUCCUACCUGCCAUAGUUUGGCUUCAACCCCUUCAACAGAUGCAGCCCCUUUCUUUAUCUCUUCUGCUAGUUUCUCUACAUGUCCAUACAUGGAAUAGUACCUAUAAAAAAGCACAGUUAGAUCCACGAUAUCAUUCAUGUUACAAAAGAUGAAAAAAAUACAAAUAUUUUGCUUGAUUUUAGUAAUAUCUCACCCAGGUAUGCACAAAAUCAACAGAUGUACACAAUCCCAUACUCAUUCAUCAGGGAAAAAAAAUAAAAAAUAAAAAAUGAAAACUAUAUAUCUUGGAUUUCUUAGAGAAACGUUAUUUGGAAAAAGAAUCAUGAGCUUAUUAUCAGCAUGAUUUCAGAGCAAAUAGAUUGUUUUAAAUAGUGUAGUACCCUGUGAUUGUGCCAAUAAGGACCUAUGUUCAAUCCUCUUAAAGUCAAUAUUAGAUUAUCACACAAUUUCCCUGAGUAAUUCCACGAACAGGUUGAUGCAUUGUUCAACAACAGGAGAUGUGGAAAAGCAAGACAAUCAUUCCUCAAUGAACUUCAAGUUAUAUUCCUGAAGUUUUAACCUGAGUCUAACGCAAAUAGGUUCUUUACCACUUUGGAAAUCCUUGGCAACAGACAGUUUUGAUAAAAAGGAAGGGGAAAAUAAUGAAGACAAUUUGAUGCACCAAGGUGUUCCGGGGAAUUAAGAAAUAAAGAUGAAAAUUACACAUGUUCCCUUUCAUUGAUGAACCAUGGCUACGAGACCUUUUAGAUGUGAACUCAAUCGAUUGUGAUGUGUUGCUCGAAUAUCAAUUACUACAUGCAAAAAUUCUACAGCAAAGAGCUAUCAACUGCUUUAUCAAAGUCAAGCUUCUGUAACUUUAAUUCAAAUAACACCUCUACAUCACCUGGUGAGAUCCAAAUUCAUACAAAUUGUAUAAUCGUGUAACUUUUUUCCCACAGAGUAAUGCUCAACUAUGCUGCUUGGCAGAGCAACUUAUAUUUUUACAAACAUUGAUGACUAAAACUGUUAUGAUCACACAAUCAUAACAUUGAUCAAUUCGUUUGGGACCUUGGUUGUUCACAUUUCUGUUAUAAUCUCUAGGGAAGCUAUUACUGCAUCCAAAGGAUUUUUCAUCAAGCCAAAAGAAAUUAAGUUUAAUUCUAUUUUACCCUCUUUCCUUUGAUCAAUCAAUAACUAACAAUCAACUUGGGCACUCACAGGAAAAAGAAGCUUACAGAAUCAAGAAUCACUAAUGAAUAUUCAACAAUAAGCACGAGCAUGAAGAAACACUUGAUCAGCUACAGAUCCGAAAUUCACAUAGAAAAUCAAAAAUACCAAAAAACAAAGAGAACCCAUAAAUUACUCAAUUAUUUCAUCAGCACAAACACAAUUCAACGUCAAACUGUAAAUCCGAUUCAAGAAACCAAAUCAAAAUAUACAAAGAAUAAAAAUUUGUCAGCGAAACAUCUCACUUACACAAUGUAAACUUUGAUGGCCAUUGAUUAAGUGCGUUCCUUUUUCUCAAAAGUGGGUAAAAAUGCGUUUGAAAAAGUGAUAAUUGACAUUGAGCUUCUGAGCUGGGCUCCCCAUUUUAUACUAGCGCACGAAUUCCCCAGAUUGGUUAAGUUUCAAACAGUAUUCUAUAUUAAUUAAUUUAAAUCUAAAUUGUUUUUGGAUUAAAAAUACUGAGCAGCUGAUAUGUGUACCUAGUUAAUGAUGAUUGAGUUGUUGUCACGCUC
rnacentral:lncRNA from 1 species